CCUACGUUCGGUACAGGUCGGUGACGAGGUGGUGCAGUGGUGUCUGGCUCGUGUCGUGAGAUGUUGGGUUAAGUCCCGCAACGAGCGCAACCCCUACGUUUAGUUGCUAACGCGUGAAGGCGAGCACUCUAGACGAACUGCCGUUGACAAAACGGAGGAAGUGGGGAUGACGUCAAAUCAUCAUGCCCCUUAUGUUCUGGGCUACACACGUGCUACAAUGGCCGGUACAGACGGACGCAAAGCCGCGAGGUGGAGCAAAUCCUAAAAAGCCGGUCUCAGUUCGGAUUGCAGGCUGCAAUUCGCCUGCAUGAAGUCGGAAUCGCUAGUAAUCGCAGGUCAGCAUACUGCGGUGAAUACGUUCCCGGGCCUU
rnacentral:rRNA from 1 species